GAUUAACGCUGGCGGCGUGCAUAACACAUGCAAGUCGAACGAAGUGGCGGACGGGUGAGUAACGCGUGAGUAACCUGCCUUAGAGAAGGGGAUAGCCUUUGGCAAAGAAGAAUAAUACCCUAUACUCUAAGAUGGACUUGCGGCUGAUUAGUUAGUUGGUGAGGUAACGGCCCACCCAGACAGCGAGCAGUAGCCGGCUUGAGAGAGUGGACGGGAACACUGGGACUGAGACAAGGCCCAGACUCUACGGGAGGCAGCAGUGGGGAAUUUUGCACAAUGGGGGAAACCCUGAGGCAGCGACGUCGCGUGAUUUAGAAGGCCUUCGGGUUGUAAAAAUCUUUUCUAUGGGAAGCAGUACCCUAGGAAUAAGGACCGGCUAAUUACGUGCCAGCAGCCGCGGUAAUUC
rnacentral:rRNA from 1 species